rnacentral:rRNA from 1 species
GUGCCGCAGCUAACGCAUUAAGCACUCCGCCUGGGGAGUACGACCGCAAGGUUGAAACUCAAAGGAAUUGACGGGGGCCCGCACAAGCGGUGGAGCAUGUGGUUUAAUUCGAAGCUACGCGAAGAACCUUACCAGGUCUUGACAUCUUGCGCCAACCCUAGAGAUAGGGCGUUUCCUUCGGGAACGCAAUGACAGGUGGUGCAUGGUCGUCGUCAGCUCGUGUCGUGAGAUGUUGGGUUAAGUCCCGCAACGAGCGCAACCCUUGUUAUUAGUUGCCAGCAUUAAGUUGGGCACUCUAAUGAGACUGCCGGUGACAAACCGGAGGAAGGUGGGGUUGACGUCAAGUCAUCAUGCCCCUUAUGACCUGGGCUACACACGUGCUACAAUGGGCAGUACAACGAGAAGCAAGCCUGCGAAGGCAAGCGAAUCUCUGAAAGCUGUUCUCAGUUCGGACUGCAGUCUGCAACUCGACUGCACGAAGCUGGAAUCGCUAGUAAUCGCGGAUCAGCAUGCCGCGGUGAAUACGUUCCCGGGCCUUGUACACACCGCCCGUCACACCAUGAGAGU